rfam:Desulfopila aestuarii DSM 18488 genome assembly, contig: EJ45DRAFT_scaffold00036.36
AGAGGACCGGGGUGGACGAACCUAUGGUGUGCCAGUUGUUCCGCCAGGGGCAUUGCUGGGUAGCUAAGUUCGGCAGGGAUAACCGCUGAAAGCAUCUAAGCGGGAAGCCCACUCCAAGAUGAGAUUUCCCAUGGCAUUAGCCAUCUCAAGGCUCGUUGUAGACUACAACGUUGAUAGGUCGGGUGUGGAAGCGUGGUAACACGUGGAGCUUACCGAUACUAAUAAGCCGUGCGGCUUAUCCAC